rnacentral:ncRNA from 1 species
GACCAUUCCGAGGGGGGCCCCGGCAGGGGGCUGAGAUACCGCCAGGGCAUGGGCCGGCGCGGUGACCCUUUGAACCUGAUCCGGGUUGCACCGGCGUAGGGACGGAAUCAGCGCGCCCA